rnacentral:rRNA from 1 species
AACGAACGCUGGCGGCAUGCCUAACACAUGCCAGUCGAACGAGACCUUCGGGUCUAGUGGCGCACGGGUGCGUAACGCGUGGGAACCUGCCUUUAGGUUCGGAAUAACUCAGAGAAAUUUGAGCUAAUACCGGAUGAUGUCUUCGGACCAAAGAUUUAUCGCCUUUAGAUGGGCCCGCGUUGGAUUAGCUGGUUGGUGGUGUACAGGCGUGCCAAGGCGACGUUCCAUAGCUGGUCUGAGAGGAUGAUCAGCCACACUGGCACUGAGACACGGCCCAGACUCCUACGGGAGGCAGCAGUAGGGAAUAUUGGACAAGGGGCGAAAGCCUGAUCCAGCAAUGCCGCGUGAGUGAUGAAGGCCUUAGGGUUGUAAAGCUCUUUUACCCGAGAUGAUAAUGACAGUAUCGGGAGAAUAAGCUCCGGCUAACUACGUG